rnacentral:misc_RNA from 1 species
UGUGUAAAUAAAAUACAUACAACCUUUCAGCAACGGAUCUCUUGGCUCUCGCAUCGAUGAAGAACGUAGCGAAAUGCGUCCUUGGUAUUCUGAGGAGCAUGCCUGUUUGAGUGUCAUCAAAGUUCUCAACCACAUUGAUUUGCUUUGAUGUGGAUUGGACAUGGGAUUUGCAGGCCUUUUUGAAAAAAGGGUGUGCUCUUCUGAAAUAGAUUAGUGGUAUCUGAGCAGAGACUAGUUACAGGCGUGAUAA